CCUACGGGUGGCAGCAGUGAGGAAUAUUGCACAAUGGGGGAAACCCUGAUGCAGCGACGCCGCGUGAGUGAGGAAGUAUUUCUGUGUGUAAAGCUCUAUCAGCAGGGAAGUAAAUGACGGUACCUAACUAAUAAGCCCCGGAUAACUACGUGCCAGCAUCCGCAGUAAUACGUAGGGGGCAGGCGUUAUCCGGAUUUACUGGGUGUAAAGGGAGCGUAGACGGUUAAUCAAGUCAGAAGUGAAAACCCAGGGCUCAACCUUAGGACUGCUGUUGAGACUGAGUAGCUAGAGUGCAGGAGAGGUAAGCGGAAUUCGUGGUGUAGCGGUGAAAUGCGUAGAUAUUAGGAAGAACACCGAUGGCGAAGGCAGCUUACUGGACUGUAACUGACGUUGAGGCUCGAAAGCGUGGGGAGCAAACAGGAUUAGAUACCCGAGUAGUC
rnacentral:rRNA from 1 species